AGAGGCAUGGGAGGCGUGCAAAGGGACAGUGGCGGCCGACAGAGGGCCCUAGGUGCGGCGCACCUAGGGUUUGAAAAAAAUUGUUUUUCUGAUUUGUGUUUUCUGGGCUGGGUUUUGGUGGGUUAGGCUUGUAAUUGAGUUGAGGGUUUGGGUUUGAUUUUAGGAUAGUGGGCCUGGUUUGGUUUGAUGAGGCCCGGGCUAAAUUUGGGCUGUACAAAGAUAACAUAAUUUUUUGUCCCUGGUAAUUAAGUUAAUUUUAGUGUUUUUUUUUUUUUUACUUUAGCACUUAAAUUUAGUAAUUAGAUCUAAAUUUGGAUUCCGUCAAGAUUCGUUGAUGUAACCAAUGUUCUUGGAACAUG
rnacentral:lncRNA from 1 species